rnacentral:tRNA from 1 species
GGACAGGUAGCUCAGUUGGUAGAGCACAGGACUGAAAAUCCUGGUGUCGCCGGUUCGAUUCCGGCCCUGUCCACCA